rnacentral:miRNA from 1 species
AAUAUCUGAAUUGUUUACAAAAC